UAACGGUUAUGAACUAUAUAAUAACGCAUCCGUUUUAAUAGGAAAUGACGUCACUCUUAAUUGUAGCAUCAUUCCUACAGACAGCGAACAACUUAUUUUAUGGGAGAAGAUAUAUCCGGAAGAACAGUAUCAGUUAUUAAGUUAUAAAAGUAAAACAACUAAUAUGAGUAAAUAUAGUACUAAUAUUGAUAAUAAUCUGUUAAUAAGAGAUGUACAACUACGUGAUGAGGGUUUUUAUCAGUGUGAAAAUCAACAAGAAAAAUACAACAUGUCUUUAUAUGUAUCAGUACCAAUGGAAGACUUAUCUUUAACCUCAGAUGUUCAACCACCAUAUCCCAACAACCAGCCUGUAGCUUUAAUAUGUCGUUCUACGCACAGUCGACCUCCAGCAGAUCUUAGAUGGUAUAAAGGUGCUAGAAAGAUUGCUUUAUUUCCACCCAAAACACACAAGACAGUUACGGAUAGGAACGGUUUUGGUAAUUCUGAGAGUAUUUUAUCAGUAUUUAUAAACAGGGAUGAGAAAGAUAUACCGUAUAGAUGUGUGGCUGAUUUACCAGGUCAAAUGUCAGUUCAAACAGCAUUUCUAUUUCCUUUUAUCAUAUCAAUAUCUUCCAAAUGUUUAUUGGAUGUGUGGCUGUUUUUACUGACCAUAACUAUCAUGUUGUUACACCAAUAGAAAAUAUACCGGCUAGUCAGUCGAGUAAAAAUGAUCGAAAUUUUAAAACAUAUUUUAAAAAAUAAAAGUGGUCUUCGUUUUAUUAUGGAGAAGGUCCAAAUUUCACUGCCUAGCUUUUGAUACACGGGGGUUCGCAAAGCUAUAAAUUCUGAACUCAGAAACGUAAAGAAAGUCAUUCGAGCAAAAAUUAACGAAAAU